UCUCCUCUGCCUUGACCCUCUGCCAGGCUACUUUGUCUGGUGCCAGCUGACUUGAACUGAAACCUCCACAAACUGGCUCAGCACCAGACACUGUAUCGUGGAUCUAGACUUAUAACCCCAUGUGGUGUCAACAGACAUGCUGGAUGGUUCCCUAAUGACUACACCAGAUAUGAUUACCUGUGCCUGUGUUCCUGACUUGUGCUGCCUGUCAAACUUUGGACUAAUUGUGUGCAUGACUGUGUUCGGAGAA